rnacentral:lncRNA from 1 species
GAAUCGCACUAAGAAGUCUCUUGGUGCUGAAGUUGGUGCUUUGGCUGGUUUUUACAGUCGGAAUAGCCCCUCCAAUCCCACCAGUUUAGCUUGCUUGGGGGGUAGUAGUGCCAGUAGAAGGUGCCGUAUAAGAUGUGGUAGCUCUGCCUCCAAGGUCUCUUACGAUAUCCCUCUUAUCUUGAGGUUUAAUCUUCGUCUCUGGUCUUCAAGCACUGCAAACUGUUCAUCUGUUUUGGCUUGUUGUAGUUGCAGAUCCUGCACUGACCGUUGCAGUUGGGCUGUAUGCUUAACAUGUUGGUGGGUUUCUCGCUCCAAAGCCCCCAUGCGGCUCGUUAGGCCCUGCAGUUCUUUUUGGAUGUGAGUCACCUCAGCCUGAAUGGUAUGCAGUCUGAGUGAGAGGUGGUCGGCUUGAGAGCCCUCUGCUCCGGUGUAUGUCCCUCUGCCGUUUCCAGAGAGAAGUAGUCUGAUAUCUCAAAUCCGUUGUCUCAGAUGUCAGCCAUUUUAGGGUCCAUAGCUCUCUGGACCUGUCGCCAUAAGUCGCUGAUAUUCAUCCCCAUUCUCGGCUAAUGGGGUCUAGGUUUUUUGUUUUUCUGUCCCAUAUUGUGAGAGUCAGCUUUAGUUUUGAUUUGCAAGUUUGUGAGCAUGAAAAAACGGGUUAUAAUUAGCUUGUCGGUAUAGACCUCAUGCAACAUGUGACCAUCCAGCUCAGUAGCUUGGCUCUGCCCCGAGAUAAUACUCUUUUAUACUCAAGUAAUCUAGAUAAAUCCAUCCAGAUAACUAAAAAGACACUUUAAGCAUCAUACUGACUCCAACUUAUUAUAGUGAUUAUGGUGCAUGGAGCCUUUGGGUGCAUUCCUUUAGUUUCUGACAAAUCAGCUUUAAUUAUUUUAAUAAAAACACUGUCUCUCUCGGCACCCAAAGCCCACUCUCAGCUAUAUGCAAGAUAUAUGGAAUAUUUAUUUAUAUAUACCUGUACACAUAGACAGCAAUUAAAAGCUGUUUUUUCCCAUUAUUACACAUCAGUGGCUGAGGAUCAGGAGUUUGGGUGCUACAGGUCGUUUUUUGUCAAAUAUAUUGGAAACCUGUUGUCAUGAAGUUGUCUACAUUUAGUUUUGAUAACUACACAGAAAUAGAAAAGUAGAUUUGUUUUUCUUACCUAUGUAUUGGAAAAUCAAAGGCUAUAUUCUCUAAAUAUUGACUGUGUAAUCAAAAACUAUUUACAGAUGUAGCCCAUAACACUUGAUAGAAAAGUAUCUGAUCCCCUUAUAUUGGCUAUUUUGACUUAGCUCUGCCCUUUUUAUGAAGCGGCGCGAACGCGACUAUGUCAUGACGCCGAUGAUGUCACAGCCCGCCAAAACUUUUGAAUUCAACUGUUUUUGGGUCGUGGCCAUAGAUCAAAGGCAUAUCAUAAAAAAGGGCAUUUAGUGUAUGGAUCUUUGUCCUGUUGUGGGUUCCCAAGAGUGCGUUAUGUUCUGUGUCUAUUUUGGUGUUUUGAUCUUGGCUUUCCUCUGACUAUUCUCUGUUCUGUUCUCCUGUGACUCGGCUAUUGGAUUUUCGCUUUCCUGAUUUCUGGCUUCCCUGACUCGGCUUUCUUUAUCUAACAACGUAUAACCCGGCCAUUCUAAGGACCGGUAAAUGUUGUCUCAUCUUUUAUCAUAUACACACUGCGUGUUGGGUCACUAGGUACUGUGACAGACCUGCCAGUGAGCUCAUUGACAAGUGAACAGCUGCACACACACAUUCUCAAGGCUUGUCAAUGGGAAGCCUCUGAUUGGUGCUGGGGAUGAAGAGGAGGUAUUGCAAUAACUGCAGAUACUAGAUCUGCAGCAAUUGCAAGCCUAAAUUUCACAUACCCCUAAAGAAUUACAAGAUGUAUCUACAAAUGUAUUUAUUUUAUUUAAUGGAGUGCUUCUUAAGAUAUUGGGAUACCAGUGACUAACAAGCUUAUGUUAAUGACCAUUCAGUUGAUGUACAUAGCUGGACACCAAGCCCUGCUGUUAAAUUGCAGUUGCAUUAUGUUUUUGGUUGAUUUCCUCUGUGGCUUGGAUCUGAUUCAUCUAUGUUUUCUUGAGAAACAAAAAUUGCAUAAUUUACUGUGAAUUUGAUUUUAUCAUUGGGGUGAGGUGUAUACGUUUGUGAAAUU